rnacentral:rRNA from 1 species
GACAGCAGUAGCCACGGGAAUACGGAGGGUGCAAGCGUUAAUCGGAAUUACUGGGCGUAAAGCGCACGCAGGCGGUCUGACAAGUCAGAUGUGAAAUCCCCGGGCUUAACCUGGGAACUGCAUUUGAAACUGUCAGGCUGGAGUCUUGUAGAGGGGGGUAGAAUUCCAGGUGUAGCGGUGAAAUGCGUAGAGAUCUGGAGGAAUACCGAUGGCGAAGGCAGCCAUCUGGCCUAAUACUGACGCUGAGGUACGAAAGCAUGGGGAGCAAACAGGAUUAGAUACCCCGGUAGUCCCUGUCUCUUAUAC